AGUGAACGCUGGCGGUAGGCCUACACAUGCAAGUCGCACGGCAGCACAGUAAGAGCUUGCUCUUACGGGUGGCGAGUGGCGGACGGGUGAGGAAUACAUCGGAAUCUACUUUUUCGUGGGGGAUAACGUAGGGAAACUUACGCUAAUACCGCAUACGACCUACGGGUGAAAGCAGGGGAUCUUCGGACCUUGCGCGAUUGAAUGAGCCGAUGUCGGAUUAGCUAGUUGGCGGGGUAAAGGCCCACCAAGGCGACGAUCCGUAGCUGGUCUGAGAGGAUGAUCAGCCACACUGGAACUGAGACACGGUCCAGACUCCUACGGGAGGCAGCAGUGGGGAAUAUUGGACAAUGGGCGCAAGCCUGAUCCAGCCAUACCGCGUGGGUGAAGAAGGCCUUCGGGUUGUAAAGCCCUUUUGUUGGGAAAGAAAAGCAGCAGGUUAAUACCCCGCUGUUCUGACGGUACCCAAAGAAUAAGCACCGGCUAACUUCGUG
rnacentral:rRNA from 1 species